rnacentral:rRNA from 1 species
UACAGAGGUCUCAAGCGUUGCUCGGAAUCACUGGGCGUAAAGCGCACGUAGGCGGAUUGUUAAGUCAGGGGUGAAAUCCUGGAGCUCAACUCCAGAACUGCCUUUGAUACUGGCGAUCUUGAGUCCGGGAGAGGUGAGUGGAACUGCGAGUGUAGAGGUGAAAUUCGUAGAUAUUCGCAAGAACACCAGUGGCGAAGGCGGACUCACUGGCCCGGUACUGACGCUGAGGUGCGAAAGCGUGGGGAGCAAACAGG